rnacentral:rRNA from 1 species
GUGGGGAAUAUUGGACAAUGGGCGCAAGCCUGAUCCAGCCAUGCCGCGUGAGUGAUGAAGGCCUUAGGGUUGUAAAGCUCUUUCAGUGGGGACGAUAAUGACGGUACCCACAGAAGAAGCCCCGGCUAACUUCGUGCCAGCAGCCGCGGUAAUACGAAGGGGGCUAGCGUUGUUCGGAUUUACUGGGCGUAAAGCGCACGUAGGCGGAUUGUUAAGUCGAGGGUGAAAUCCCAGGGCUCAACCCUGGAACUGCCUUCGAUACUGGCAAUCUUGAGUCCGGAAGAGGUGAGUGGAACUCCUAGUGUAGAGGUGGAAUUCGUAGAUAUUAGGAAGAACACCAGUGGCGAAGGCGGCUCACUGGUCCGGUACUGACGCUGAGGUGCGAAAGCGUGGGGAGCAAACAGGAUUAGAAACCCCGGUAGUCC